GCCCAAGUGGCGGAAUGGUAGACGCAGGGGAUUCAAAAUCCCCCGCUGGCAACAGCGUGCGAGUUCGAGUCUCGCCUUGGGCA
rfam:Roseovarius sp. A-2 DNA, contig: RA2_contig0006.